GACGGAGGAUGCAAGUGUUAUCCGGAAUCACUGGGCGUAAAGCGUCUGUAGGUGGUCAAAUAAGUCAACUGUUAAAUCUUGAGGCUUAACCUCAAAAUCGCAGUCGAAACUAUUAGACUAGAGUAUAGUAGGGGUAAAGGGAAUUUCCAGUGGAGCGGUGAAAUGCGUAGAGAUUGGAAAGAACACCGAUGGCGAAAGCACUCUGCUGGGCCGACACUGACACUGAGAGACGAAAGCUAGGGGAGCGAAUGGG
rnacentral:rRNA from 1 species